rnacentral:rRNA from 1 species
UUUAACUGAGCGUUCAGUUACUUGACGUAGACCCGAAACCGGGCGACCUACCCAUGAGCAGGAUGAAGCGAAAGUAAAAUUUCGUGGAGGUCCGAACCCACGAGCGUUGAAAAGCUCGGGGAUGACUUGUGGGUAGCGGUGAAAUUCCAAUCGAGCCCGGAGAUAGCUGGUUCUCCCCGAAAUAGCUUUAGGGCUAGCCUCAAGGUGAGAGAUACGGAGGUAGAGCACUGAAUGUCCUAGGGGGUAUUGCACCUACCGAAGACUAUCAAACUCCGAAUGCCGUCAUCUUAUACUUGGGAGUCAGACUGUGGGUGAUAAGAUUCAUAGUCGAAAGGGCAACAGCCCAGAUCGUCAGCUAAGGUCCCUAAAUGUAAGUUAAGUGGUAAAGGAUGUGGGAUUGCACAGACAACCAGGAUGUUGGCUUAGAAGCAGCCACUCAUUCAAAGAGUGCGUAAUAGCUCACUGGUCGAGUGAUCCUGCGCCGAAGAUUUCCGGGGCUAAAACUUACUACCGAAGCUACGGCAUCAGUAAUGAUGGGUAGGGGAGCUUCCCAUACGGGUUGAAGCAUGACCGUAAGGACAUGUGGACAGUAUGGGAGUGAGAAUGUUGGCAUGAGUAGCGAGAUGUGGGUGAGAAUCCCACAGGCCGUAAACCCAAGGUUUCCAGGGGAAGGUUCGUCCGCCCUGGGUUAGUCGGGACCUAAGCUGAGGCCGAAAGGCGUAGGUGAUGGACAACAGGUUGAUAUUCCUGUACUACCGAUAACCGUUUGAGAGAAGGGAUGACACAGUAGGAUAAGCUAAGCACACUGUUGGUUAUGUGUGCCCAAGCAUUGAGGCAGUCAAAGUAGGCAAAUCCGCUUUGAUAAUGCUGGGAUGUGAUGGGGAGCGAAAUUUAGUAGCGAAGUAGCUGAUUUCACACUGUCAAGAAAAGUCUCUAUCGAGGUUAAAGGUACCCGUACCGCAAACCGACACAGGUGGGUGAGGAGAGUAUCCUAAGGCCAGCGAGAGAACUGUUGUUAAGGAACUCGGCAAAAUGACCCCGUAACUUAGGGAUAAGGGGUGCCACCAUCAGGUGGCCGCAGAGAAUAGGCCCAAGCGACUGUUUACCAAAAACAUAGGUUUCUGCUAAGUCGCAAGACGAUGUAUAGGAGCUGACGCCUGCCCGGUGCUGGAAGGUUAAGGGGAUCUGUUAGAGCAAUCGAAGCAGUGAACUUAAGCCCCAGUAAACGGCGGCCGUAACUAUAACGGUCCUAAGGUAGCGAAAUUCCUUGUCGGGUAAGUUCCGACCCGCACGAAAGGCGUAACGAUUUGGGCACUGUCUCAACAACAGACUCGGUGAAAUUGUAAUUCCGGUGAAGAUGCCGGAUACCUGCGACAGGACGGAAAGACCCCAUGGAGCUUUACUGUAGCUUGACAUUGGGUCUUGGUACUACAUGUACAGGAUAGGUGGGAGGCUUUGAAACCAGGACGCCAGUUUUGGCGGAGCCAUCCUUGGGAUACCACCCUUGUAGUACUGGGACUCUAACCAUAGGCCAUGAAUCUGGUCUUGGGACACUGUCAGGUGGGCAGUUUGACUGGGGCGGUCGCCUCCCAAAAGGUAACGGAGGCGCUCAAAGGUUCUCUCAGUACGGUCGGAAAUCGUACGUAGAGUGUAAAGGCAAAAGAGAGCUUGAUUGCAAGACAUACAGGUCGAGCAAGGAUGAAAAUCGGACUUAGUGAUCCGGUGGUUCUGCGUGGAAGGGCCAUCGCUCAACGGAUAAAAGCUACCCUGGGGAUAACAGGCUUAUCUCCCCCAAGAGUCCACAUCGACGGGGAGGUUUGGCACCUCGAUGUCGGCUCAUCACAUCCUGGGGCUGUAGUAGGUCCCAAGGGUUGGGCUGUUCGCCCAUUAAAGUGGUACGCGAGCUGGGUUCAGAACGUCGUGAGACAGUUCGGUCCCUAUCCGUCGCAGGCGUAGGAAAUUUGAGAAGACCUGUCCUUAGUACGAGAGGACCGGGAUGGACGUACCUCUGGUGUACCAGUUGUCCUGCCAAG